rnacentral:misc_RNA from 1 species
UUAAGUUCAGCGGGUAUCCCUACCUGAUCCGAGGUCAACCAUAAGAUUUGGGGUUCUGGCGAGCUACCGCAGGACUCCAGAGCGAGAGGUGUACUACGCUUAGAGCCAGACGGCGCCGCCACUGACUUUGGGGCCGGCCGCGACGGGCGGGGCCCAACACCAAGCAGUGCUUGAGGGUUGAAAUGACGCUCGAACAGGCA